rnacentral:rRNA from 1 species
AUACGGAGGAUCCAAGCGUUAUCCGGAUUUAUUGGGUUUAAAGGGUGCGUAGGCGGACUGGUAAGUCAGCUGUGAAAGUUUGCGGCUUAACCGUAAAAUUGCAGUUGAUACUGUCAGUCUUGAGUGUGCAUGAGGUGGGCGGAAUUUGUGGUGUAGCGGUGAAAUGCUUAGAUAUCACGAGGAACUCCAAUUGCGAAGGCAGCUCUCUGGGGCAUAACGGACGCGGAUGCACGAAGGUGUGGGUAUCAAACAGGAUUAGAUUCCCUGGUAGUCCACACAGUAAACUAUGAAUACGCGCUGUUUGCGAUAUACAGUAAGCGGCCAAGCGAAAGCAUUAAGUAUUCCGCCUGGGGAGUACGCCGGCAACGGUGAAACUCAAAUGAAUUGACGGGG